rnacentral:rRNA from 1 species
GACGAACGCUGGCGGCGUGCCUAAUACAUGCAAGUCGGACGAAGUUGUUUUAACUGGUGCUUGCACCGACUUAAACAACUGAGUGGCGAACGGGUGAGUAACACGUGGGUAACCUGCCCCAAAGUGGGGGAUAACAUUUGGAAACAGAUGCUAAUACCGCAUAACCACAGAAACCCCAUGGUUUCUGUGUCAAAGAUGGUUUCGGCUAUCACUUUGGGAUGGACCCGCGGCGUAUUAGCUAGUUGGUAAGG